rnacentral:rRNA from 1 species
UACGUAGGUGGCAAGCGUUGUCCGGAUUUACUGGGCGUAAAGGAUGCGUAGGCGGACUUUUAAGUGGGAUGUGAAAUUCCGAGGCUCAACCUCGGCGCUGCAUUCCCAAACUGGAAGUCUAGAGUGCGGGAGAGGAAAGUGGAAUUCCUAGUGUAGCGGUGAAAUGCGUAGAGAUUAGGAAGAACACCAGUGGCGAAGGCAGCCUUCUGGGCCAACACUGACGCUCAUGCACGAAAGCGUGGGGAGC